UGGUUAUGCAGUGAAAACACGUCCAACUAAGGCAGUGUUUCUCAAACUGUGGGGCGGGCCCCCUAGGGGAGGCGUGAAGGCUUGUAAGGGGGGG